rnacentral:lncRNA from 12 species
CUUUUAUUCACAUGUUUGCUUAUUCAGAAAGCCACAUCUAGCACACAUAUGCUACCACCAUGUUCAGGGAGCUGUGCAUUCCAAAUCUCUAAGAAGGAAAGAAUAUUAGUGGUAUUUCCUGCAACACGUAGUUGAAAAAAUUUCCUUAAAAUGAGGCCCCAAAGACAAGUCCACUGACACAUUCUGGCAUCCAUUAAUAUUUUCACUUCUUAGUCCUUAAGUGUUCCUUAUUGGAUUAUGUCCAUUUCCUUUUAUUCCUCACUUCACUGAUUCAGAAAUCAUAUUUGUUAAACCUUAUGCAAAAUCUUAUCCAUGGAGAGUGUGUUUUGUUAACUAUUUCUGCUUUAUUGCUCUAUAUCAUGGCUAUUUCUACACAAUUCUCCGAUCACUUCUUUUUAAUCUGGUCAAUUUUGCUGGCUGUAUUCAUCUUUUCUUAGCUGGACUGACAUUUUUAUUUCAGGGCAUAUCCUUCUCCCUGGAGUAACUUAUAUUGAUAUUUUAGUGUAUGGGAUAAUAUUCACUUUACUCCUUGUUGUAAUAAAGAUUUUUAGGACUUGUAUUAAUGAAAGGUUUUUUUCAGAAAUGUCUAUUACUAAAGAUAGAGAAAAAUGAUAGAGGAUAGUGCUUCUUUUUAUGCUUACCAUAAAACUGUUCCAUGAAGGGUAGGAAUUGUUUUGCACAAUAUACAAGUUUAAAAUUUUUAGAGAAAAUCCUCCUACCUACUAGGGGAAAAACAUCAAUUCUUUCUCUUUAUCUCCAGCAAAUAGCAAUAGCAUUCCUUCUGGAUGUGCUCCUUCUCAGAAGCCAAAGGUUCCUCACAGGGAAUCUCAAGAAUUUGUCCUGUGUUAAUAUCUAUCCCCAAAACAAGCCUCUGGGGCUGAAGAAAAUGAACCCCUCUUCCAGUUACAAGGUAUUUUUCUUUCUUUUUUUUAUUUAACUUUUUCUCUGUUAACAUACAUUGCAAUAUUGGCUUCUGGAGUAGAAUUCAGUAAUUCAUCACUUACAUAAAACA